CAAAGAAAACCGAAAGGAGGAAAUAUUUAGCGCCAUAAACACACCAAACAACUCUGACAUAGUAUUUUGAUCGUUUUCGAUAUUAUAGAUCUUGAAAAGAAAUAGAAUAACCUUAGAGACGGUAAAAGUGUUUCACAAUCUUAAAUGAUGAAUUUAUAACUUAAAUAUGUAGGAUAUGAUGGAGGUUUCUUUGUUGUGAUGAUAUUGAAAUUUUAAGUUUCCAAAUUUUAUUGUUCAAAUCAAUUUACGUAAACAAAGAGAUCUGACAUAAACCCAGCCUAUUUACAUUCAUUCUCAUUAAAGAUGUAUAGAUUAAUACUUGUUUUAAAAGCACAGGCACUUGUUUCUAUCCAUUGGAAGACCCACUAUCAACGUAUAUUUACGAGAAGGUACCCAACUACUUUUUUCACCUCUCCGCUUAAAACCCUUAUUUCUAUGUCAAUUCAGUCUCAAUUUUUUGUUCCAUACACCAUUCGAUUCAUGAAAAGUUUAUCUUUCAGAUGAUAUGCAUUGUAUUUAUCCUUAGAGUACCCCUUACCCCCAGUCCACAAGAUUUGUCAAUAAAUUUCCAUGUUAUAAUUUUAGUUCUCCUACAAAAUACAACAACAACCGGUUUAAAGCAGAAAAAUUCAAAACCGCUUGUGAUUGGUGGGGUUCAUAGUUCAUAGGGUCAUUACUCUCUAGAUUUUACAUUAAUCAUUUGUGACUCUUUAGAUUUAUCCUUCACUGUUUUAUGCAAAUUAUCUAAAACGGAAGUAGUUGUAUUUUGUAGGAGGACUAAAAACGAUUACAUGAAAAUUCAUUGACAAAUCUUGUGGACUGGGGGUAAGGGGUACUCUAAGGGUAAAUGCAAUGCAUAUCAUCUGAAAGAUAAACAUUUCAUGAAUCGAAUGGUGUAUGGAACAAAAAAAUUGAGACUGAAUUGACAUAGAAAUAAGGAUUUUAAGCGGAGAGGUGAAAAAAGUAGUUGGGUACCUUCUCGUAAAUAUACGUUGAUAGUGGGUCUUCCAAUGGAUAGAAACAAGUGCCUGUGUUUAAAAGACAUUAAUUCAGACUACACGAAUGAAUUUUAUUUUUACAGGACAUUCUGGUAAGCAUCCUAGCUUUACCAGACCAAAUGAAAUUUUACCAGACCAAUUUUUUUUACAUCUAAUUGUAUAUUAUCCGACAAAAAACAACAAACAUAUGACUUUGUUGUGCCCUACUCCUCCCCAAAAUGCACAAAUUAAAACAAAAUGAUGUAACAAGAGGGUAUAUUGUUAUAAAAGUUGUGCACAAUUGCUUGAAAGCAUUAAUUUCAGCUGAGAUUUCAGUGAAGAGUAAUGUCUCAUUUUAUUGGAUUUUGACAACGUUUGUGAACUAAACAUAAUUUAGAGUUUCUGUAUAAAAUAUUAUUUCCUGUUUCUUCUUUCUUUUUCAUAUAUCUUUUGGUUUUCAAUUCUAGUGUUUAUAUUUCAUAGCUAAAUUUUGUGAUUUGCUUGGAUUUUUAUUCAUUUAUUGUAUUUAAUCGGCAAACCUGGAAUUAUCCUUAUCCGUUCCCAGAAUCUGAUCCGGUUUUAUUUACAUUUCUGGUUGUGCCAAUGAUGGCAUCCAUUGUUGUUUUUGACAGUGAGAUAUGUUUUCACCCGGAUUUACACAUUACUGGUUGGCGAUGUUCGGCAUAAAGCUAGCGGUUGAACAAAAUAAACAUCGCUGUGAUGAAUAAUAAAGAUGAAAAUGAAUUUGAGAUCGUUUGGCAAUUUUGCUAGAAUGUUAGAAAAAUCCAUGAAAAAAAACACCGGACAUUCAGACCAGAAUUCAACAAAAUUUUACCAGACCGAUCCAUUAUUCACUGGAAUUGUCCGACGUAUUUCGGGUAGUCUGAUAAUUAAUAAUUCCCUCCACUCCCAUUUCGAUGUAAUAAAACAAAACUCAACACAUAAGUAAUGAUAAUCAUAUUUUGGCAAAAUAAAAAAUUUACAAUCAUACAUACAUGUACUGUAUGUCAUAAAUAAUUUCUCAUUUUAAGUCCAUAUUCUUGAUAUUUAUUAAUUUCUAAAAUAUAUAAAUGCACCAGUCACUUUCCAAACAGACAUCACAUUCAUCAAUCUGCAUUAUCUGAAAAAGACUAACUUCUUUGAUUUAAUAAGGUAUAACUCAUGUACAAAAAUCAAAUAAUACAAAAUAAAAUGGGCGGGAGGGUGGGUAAAUUUAACGUGUUGAAUUGACCAGUCAACUAUUCGAAAUGACCAUGGAAUAUUUGAAAUAUGAAAAUUUACCUGAAGUGAACAGGUAUUUCUAUUAACCAAUCAAAUGCGGUUAAAUUACGAACGAUAAAUUUUGUACAAACAGGUAACGAGUAAUGUCGAAAGGUAACGAGUAAUGUCAAAAACAUCCGAGAUGGAAUUAAGUAUUUUUAAUUAAUUAAAAAUUUACCAAUGAGGUUUCACAUUGAGUUGGAGUAGGGGACGCAAAUUCUUCCUUUAUGUUUUAAUUGAAUACAUAAUGGGAGUGGAAGUUUCCACUGGCUUCGUUUUCCCAUUGUCUACCCAAGUACUGGGAUAUUGGACAAACUAUGUAAAACACUUAAAUAUAAACUAGAUGUUUAUUUAAAGACAUACAUUAUGGUUGAAUAUAAGUUACAUACAAGAAUAAUACAAUAUAUGGUGGUGGCUAGUCUACUUGUCAUUAUGAAGUUCCAUAUUUGCAAGCCAAAUUGUAUGAGCGUCUGCUCAUUUCAAAUUCUAAAUGUAGACUGCCCCAAACCCUGUAAGUGACGUCAUCAUGGUCAUACUUAUAGUUCCUAAGGACAACUCUACCAGACAGAUGUCGGGCACGUGCAAGAAGCAGGAAGUCCCGACAAGAAUAAUUUACAUGGCCGGUUUUCAGGAGAGAGAGUUAUGGAACCAUAAAUAAUGCUAACAUUUUUUUCCCCAAAUAAAUAGAAUAAACAAGUAAACAAAGUGACCACCAUUACAAAUAUAAAUCACUUCUUCUGCUAAAUAUGGUAAACAUGUACGCCUUCUCAACUUUCAAUAUUCUAAUGCAACUAUUUUGUAAUAUUCUAAUGCAACUAUUUUGUAUCAAUGGUUCUGAUUAGAUUACUAUGUGUAAAAUUCUCUAUCUCCUUGUCAAUUGUUAACAUAUAUGUGUUCUGCCUAACAGAAGUUCCAAUGGAAACUUUGUUAUAAACAUUGUCAUAAAAAAUAUCUAUUCCUGUUAAAGCAAAUAUUCUAUACCAUUUAUUCCGUAAGGAACAUAAACUGUAAUAUUUAUUCCAGUGGGAUUAAUAUUCCAGAAUAUUUUUAUACGACCCCAAAAAAAUUUUGGGUUCGUAUAAUGGUAUGAUGUCGUCGUCUGCGUCGUCUACGUUGUCGUCCGAAGACACUUUGGUUUCCGGAUAAUAACUUUAGUUUAAGUAGAUAGAUUUUAAUGAAAUUUUUUCAGAAGGUUCAAUACCACAAAAGGAAGGUUGGGAUUUAUUUUGGGGAUGAUGGUCCGAACCGUUUAGGAAUUAGGGGCCCAAAAGGGGCCAAAACAAGCAUUUUUCUAGUUUCAGGAUAACUUGUUUACCAGUAUUUCAAUUGCUCUGAAAGUAUACUGCAACGUUUAAAAUCACAAGUAGAAGGUUUGGAUUCAUUUAAGGGGUUAUGGGGCCAAAGUUUAGGAAUCAAGGGCCAAAAAGGGGCCAAAACAAGCAUUUUUAUACGACCGCAAAAAUUUUUAAUUUUUCGUCGUAUAUUGCUAUCACGUUGGCGUCGUCUUGCGUCGUCGUCGUCCGAAUACUUUUAGUUUUCGCACUCUUAACUUUAGUAAAAGUGAAUAGUAAUCUAUGAAAUUUUAACACAAGGUUUAUGACCACAAAAGGAAGGUUGGGAUUGAUUUUGGGAGUUUUGGUCCCAACAUUUUAGGAAUUAGGGGCCAAAAAGGGCCCAAAUAAGCAUUUUCUUGGUUUUCGCACUAUAACUUUAGUUUAAGUAAAUUAAAAUCUAUAAAAUUUUGACACAAAAUUUAUGACCACAAAAGAAAGGUUGGGAUUGAUUUUGGGAGUUUUGGUUCCAACAGUUUAGGAGUUAGGGGCCAAAAAAGGGCCCAAAUAAGCAUUAUUCUUGUUUUUCGUACAAUAACUUUAGUAUAAGUAAAUAGAAAUCAAUGAAAUUUAAACACAAGGUUUAUGAACACAAAAGGAAGGUUGGGAUUGAUUUUGGGAGUUUUGGUCCCAACAGUUUAGGAAUUAGGGGCCAAAAAGGGGCCCAAAUAAGCAUUAUUCUUGGUUUUCUCACCAUAACUUUAGUAUAAGUAAAUAGAAAUCUAUGAAUUUAAACACAAGGUUUAUGACCAUAAAAGGAAGGUUGGGUUUGAUUUUGGGAGGUUUGGUCCCAACAGUUUAGGAAUAAGGGGCCCAAAGGGUCCAAAAUUGAACUUUGUUUGAUUUCAUCAAAAUUGAAUAAUUGGGGUUCUUUGAUAUUCUGAAUCCUAACUGUGUAUGUAGAUUCUUAAUUUUUGGUCCCGUUUUCAAAUUGGUCUACAUUAAAGGGAAAAUUCGCGAUUUUUUACUUAUGGUUUAAAUAUGUUCAUUAUGACAAAAUAUAUAUAUUCACAAAGUUUUAUCGCUAUAUGUCCAGUAAUAAAGGAGAAAUUCAACAAUUAAUGAAAAAUUAUUAACUACUUCCUGUAGGUCGUGACGUUUUCUCCUGGUUUUUGCAUGCCGGGAUUUAAAAUACAAUCAGUAAAAGUCUUGGUUUUUAAUGAUAUUUAAACGUAAUCGUAAGCGCGCGAAUGACUUAUGGUUUAUCUAAUAAACAUCCGAUAAUAAGAAGAUAAGACGCACAGACGUGCAAUUGUACACAUUCAUGAGAUAAAUUUUCUAUGUUAAACGUAUAUAUUCGAAUUAUUUAUUCAGACAACCAAAAAAGUUAUAAAUUUAUUAAUUAAUUAAUGCAUUUUCGGACUGAUAUAUGAGGUGAACAAAUUAAAGUACAAUAAUCUGUAAAGACAAUAUGUUGGUGUACUCUUAUUGACCUUUUACUAUCUCUGCUUUGCUAUGACUAGAUUUAUACGAUGUGUGUAUUCACGGUUCUGUGGCAAAUUGAAUACUCUUAGAUGGCUUGUUGAAAGGUAAAUUGUUAUUUGCACUUCGGUAUUUAACCACGCCUCUAGGGCACACCUUGCCAGGUGUGACUGUCUAUUCGGAUCAGUGGAUUAUAAAACAAGGGAGCAUUCAAUAUACACAUCUAUAAUACUAAUUCAAGUUUCAAGUUUGUUACAAAUAAAAAUAGAUCGCCGUGGAAUUAUUUAAUUAUAUUUGCUGUAUCAUUUAUUUCAAUUCAAAUAAAUUAAUUUACUAAGUAAUAAAAUUUAAACAAUUUUCGGUUAAAGACGGGAAACUUAAUUCAUGUGUCAGAAUGAAAUGAUAUACACCUCUUGUCCUUGAUGUAUGUCUCAUUAAAAAGGGGAAUUAGAAAUAGCUUUACCAAAGCAUUUUGAUUUUCUUUAUUAGGCAAAAAAUGUACGAGAACACUUACAUUUAGACUUUUGAAAGCCAUGUAUUAAUGUAUAUCUGAAACUAUCUGAAGAUAAGUAGAUAAAUCUACCGAAGCGGAGUAUAAUAUGUACGAACAAAGAAAAAAUACUUUUGUUUUUAAAUCUUUGCACAUUCAUGAUUAAUUAUUGUUAUCUAUUACUCAUUCAAUUACUUAAUUGGUACCUAAAAUAUGUCUACCGCUUGGCAUUAAAACUCGGUGUAGUAGGAAGGGGUUUUAUUACAUAUACUAGAUUAUAUUAUUUGGAUGAGGAUUUGAGCUAUCCUAUAAAACACAUUUAUUAGUUAACUACAUUCGAGCCCAAAGGAUAUUAACUUAAAUGAUUCAAUUAACUUUACUCACAUAUUACUUAUAUUUCUAUCUUAUGAUUUUUGCGUGCUUGUUUUUAUAGAACAGUUUAUAUAUGGUCCAAAAAUUUAUCAUAAAAUCAUAAAUAAAAAUAUCUUGUUCGGAGAAUGAUAGUACUAUAACAGUGGUUCCAGUCAGUCAAAAGAGUCAGAUUUUGACGAGUAUGGUCAUAUUGGGUACGCACUAGAGCCAGGGUAUACCGAAGAAGAGCUCCAUAAAAUGGAAGCUGCAGAAAGUUCCCGAAAUCAAGAUAUCCUUAGCAACCAUCGCUAGUUUUUAAAACACAGAUUGGUGUUCGUGUACUAACUGCAUACUUAUGCCGUUAUUAACGGAAUGUCUAUGUUGCCACUAAUUUACUCUCUUUGAUCGUAAUAUUGAAUUGGGUGAAUGCAUAAGUAACAGCAUCGAUUUCAUAACAGUUUGUCUGAACCCGGUUGUUCUUGAAACUAACUAUAUAAGUUUUUUUUAAGUACAAUCGUAUUCAUAUUAUACAUGUUAAAUGAAUGAACAAAUAUUAAACCUAUCUGUUUAUUGUUUUCCGCCCAUGUCUGCUCAUCGCCCGGCAGAAAUAAAGUUUGUCGCACGAAAAAAUGGUGUUAAUUCCAGAGUCAAAAUUUAAAGAACUUAUUUUCCAUGUUUUCUGGUAUUGUUCGAAAGAGAAUUGACCUAACAGAAGAAUUACUAUCUUAGGCUGUCAGUAACACAUGUAGAGUAGUGGGUCGUUGUUGGACAUGCAAAUCUUAUAAAGUGUAUCAUCUGUUAAAUUUGCAGGUCACUGAAAGGGGAAGUUCCAUACGGAAGUAGGUUUUGAGAUUGAUUUUUUUUUAUAUCCAGUGACACAUUUUACAUGCGUAUUCUUGAACGUUUGAUACAUCAUUUACUCUCAAAUUGCAAAAAACGAAAACUUCCACUUGUAUUUAUAGUAUUUGUUGAAAUAGUCCUCGUCUCACAACGUAUAAUACUCUAUCUAUUUGACCAACGAUGUUCAAAAACAAAAGACAGCGAAUUUUAUGUCAUCUUUCCCUAUUUUUGAAUGUAACUUAUAAUAAGGCUGUUCAACUGGCAAGAAUACAGAGACAUAUAUACAUGUCUCUGCUAAAGCGAACAAGCAGUUUAUUCUUUAAAUUGCUAUCAUAUCACGGCAAGAAAGAAAAUAAAUCCCGAAAUUGAUUUGAAACUUUAAUACUCAAUAGUUUUCCUAGAAAAUACUCACACCCCUUUGGGAUUAUUAGUGUACGUCCAGUUGCAUAUAUUUUACAUGAAUGUCGGAACAAUUGUGAUGAUGACGAAUUUCUUCCUUUAUUCGAGAACAAUCUAAUUGAUACAUAAAACUGGGAUUUUACUAUGUUCAUAACUUCGAUGAACCAAAGCAAGAUAUAUAUCGACCUGUAUUUAAAUCAAACUGGUUCUCUUCUUCUUCUUCUUCUUCUUUUGGUAUACAAUAUAGUCUGAUACAUGUAUAUAUUUUUAAAUUGCACUAUAGUUCCGUAACUUUCUAUCCAGGCGUAUAAGCCAACAUCGACAAGUGCGUACAUUUUUUAAAUCAAUAUUUUUGGUAUGUACCAGUCUGUCCUUUUACUAUUGACAAAUUACAUUUUCCCAAAUUAACCCUCGGAAAAAAUAUGUAUAUAGAUUUUUAUUUCUUCAAAUCUUUUUUUUUUUUUGUGGUAUUUUUUAUAUUUUCAUAAAUAAUAUUCUUUACACCAGAAAUGUUAUUUAUAAACAAGCGUACGAGUUAAAUUAUUGGCAUCAUAUCACUUUCGGACACACAAGACAGAGAUGUGUAUUAUACACCUGAUAGUUCAAAAUGGAAAGUUAUAAGUCUGCCGUGUACACUGAUCAAUACCUACAGAAGUGAAACGAUGCAUGAACUUGCAAGCCCGACAGGAAAUCGCUUGAAUACCCGGACGUGUCACCUGAGUCCUCACACCCCUCACAAUACCUUUGGGAGUAAUACCUUUAGCCAUGCUGGUGAUCAGAUGAGGAAAGAUCCGAAUUUAUUUGAAUAAAGUUUAUUACUUUAAAGAAUUAUGAACGAAUUAGAUUUUUGAAAACAAUUUUCACGGAACACUUAUUUAUUAUUUGAACUGUGACUCUUUUAACUAAUUCCAAUAUUAACAGUUUAAAAAUAACAGAUAUAUAAUAAUGGUCAUUUAAAAAAAAAUAAGAACAUUUUCCGUAUCAAGUUUAUAGUUAGUCAGAUAAAACAAUCGUACGAUUGACAAGAUAUCGACACGCAAUUACGACUACAUCGGUUACUGUAGUUUUGGCUCUUUGUGUUUUAUAGACAUAUCGUGAUUAUAAUCGUAGAAGAUGACAGAAUGGCGGAGCGUAGAAAAUUGAUACUCAAUAUUUAAAAUCGAUGUUGAUCUCUUAUCUAGCGGAAUAAAACUUUAAUAUCUAUAAAUUUGAGCCUUUUUAUACAGAAUGGACAUAAUAUCAAUUUUUGAUUUUUUUGCGAAGUUUCCCUUUAAAGUCCAAAGGGUCCAAAAUUAAACUUAGUUUGAUUUUAACAAAAAUUGAAUCCUUGGGGUUCUUUGAUAUGCUGAAUCUAACUUAGAUGUAAGUUGGUAGAUAUGCUCUACUGUGUAUGUAGGGUCCCGUUUUCAAAUUGGUCUACAUUAAAUUCCAAAGGGUCCAAAAUUUAACUAAGUUUGAUUUUAACAAAAAUUGAAUUCUUGGGCUUUUUUUGAUAUGCUGAAUCUAAACAUAUACUUAGAUUUUUGAGAAUGGGCCCAGUUUUCAAGUUGGUUCAAAUCAGGAUCCAAAAUUAUUAUAUUAAGUAUUCAGCAAUAGCAAGAAAUCUUCAAUUGCACAGUAUUGUGCAAUAGCAAGCAAUUUUCAAUUGCACAGUAUUGCGCAAUAGCAAGAAAUCUUCAAUUGUACAGUAUUGCGCAAUAGCAAGAAAUAUGUAAUUGCACAAUAUUGUGCAAAAGCAAGAAAUUUUCAAUUGGAGUUAUCUUUCUUUGUCCAGAAUAGUAGUUGAAUCAACUUAAAUCAUUGUUUUAUACAAUAUACAAUGUAUAUUCACUUUUACUACCAACUGAUAAAUUAAAACAAUCUUUACCAUUCAGUGAUAACAAGCACUUUAUUUUACAUUUUAAUAUUUUAUGAUGUAUUUAAAUGAGUAGUUAUUGUUGCAAACUCCAUUAGGAAUUGGAAUUGAGAUCAGUUUUGGAAAAAGGGAAAGGGGGGAUGUGAAAAAAAAUGGGGGGGGGGUUAAAUUUUUCUCAUUUCAGAUUUCAUAAAUAAAAAGAAAAUUUCUUCGAACAUUUUUUUGAGAGGAUUAAUAUUCAACAGCAUAGUGAAUUGCUCAAAGGCAAAAAAAAUAUUUUAAGUUCAUUAGACCACAUUCAUUCUGUGUCAGAAACCUAUGCUGUGUCAACUAUUUAAUCACAAUCCAAAUUUAGAGCUGAAUCCAGCUUAAAUGUUGUGUCCAUACUUGCCCCAACUGUUCAGGGUUCAACCUCUGCGGUCGUAUAUAGCUGCGCCUUGCGGAGCAUCUGGUUCUAGUUUCCAGACAAUACCUUGUGUGUAAUUGCAUGGAUCGCUCUGAAAUUGUACCACAGUGUACCAUAUAACAAAGGGGAGGCUGGGAUUAAGUUUUGGGUUAAUUGCCCAAAAAUGUAGGAAUUAAGGGCCAAAAAGGGCCAAAAGAAGCAUGUUUCUAGUUUCCAAACAAUCAUGACAAUAACUUGUGUUUAAGUGUAUGGAUCUCUCUGAAAUCGUACUACAAGGUUCAAUAUUACAAAGGAAAGCAUGGGAUUGAGUUUAAGGGUUAUUGCUCCAAGGGGGGGUUUCAAUAAAUUGGGGGGGAUCUCAGUUUACCAUUUUUUGUAAGGAUAUUUUUUUUUUUUUUUUUCAACAUUUUUCAAAUUUCAAAUUUUUGAAAAGUUUCAAUAAGAAAUAUUCAAUUGCACAGUAUUGUGCAAUAGGUGUGUUAGAUCUUGAACCACAUUAAUUUUGUGGCAAAAACCUAUAUUAUGUCAAAAAUUUGAUCACAAUCAAAAUUCAGACGGUAUGAAGCUUGAAUAUUGUGACCAAAUUUGCCCCAACUGUUCAGGGUUCGACCACUGGGGUCGUAUAAAGCUGCGCCCUGUGGAGCACCUGGUUUCCUUUUGGAACUUAUAUUAUUAAUUAAAAGGAACUUCUAUUCCGUGACACUGUAACUACUGAACUUCUAUUCCGUGACACUGUAACUACUGAACUAAGGCGGCUGACAUUGUGCAUGUUGUGAAUUACUGAAUGUAUUGACCAUGUUGACAUGUAAUUUCUACAUAUACAAUAAUCAGCAAAAAAAAACUCACAUGUUGCACCUAAAAGUCUUCUUUUUAUCAAAUUUUAUUACAUUCUGAAAUGGCCAAGAAGCCAGAAAACACUCAGUGUUUACAUGUAUGUUUGGCACCGGAAGCAUACUUGUGACGUCACUUAGUUUAGGGACCAAAGAAGAUAACAUCUUUGCACAUAAUUUUCUUUAAUGAAAAUUUUACACUGAAAUAAUGAUUGAAAUUUUAUUAUGAAUUUGUUUUGCAUGAGAAAAGAGAUAACUGUAUUGUAUUUGAAGCUUUGCGGACGUCCAUUGGUAGUUUUACUGUCGCAAAUACCUGUUUACCUGUCUCCACUACAUGUACAUGCACCAGGUAAACUAAAUUUCUGACAGAAAACUACCGAUGGACGUCUACAAAGCUUGAAAUACAAUACAGUUAUCUCUCAAUUACGUAUUGUCUGAAUGUGUGGAGAAUGUAAAUAAAAUUUAUUGAAAGAAUUUUCUAUAUGGAAGUUCAGUCUCCAAAGAGCAAAUGAAUAGUGAAAUACACCAUCAGGCCAUUCAUUAGGAGGCGGUACCCGGUACUUUUACCCUCCUAUGCUAUUGACAAGAACCGCCUAAAUGUAGAAAUUUUUGUAUAAGAUAUUCAUGGAAUCAAUUAAAAAGUACCACCUAGAAACGUGGAAAGUACCAGUCAACAUGAAAGAUAAUGAAACCACUGACCAUGAAAUGAUAUCUUUAAACAUUAUUUACUUGCAAACAUGAUUGAUAAUCUGAGUAGAUGUAUAUAACUGGGUCAGUUUAAGUGUUACCCUUCUAAAUUCUUCCUACUAGUAUACCAUGUAUACUCUUAAAGGUCUUGUAUAUAAAUGUAAGAAUUGUUAAGGAUAUUCUGGGACCAAUCUAAGGCAGGGGUUAGCUGUGAACAUGGUGGAAGAGGAAAAGGUUUGUUUUCUGAUUUGUUUAUUCUCAAUGGAUUGUUGUCAUUUUUCUAUCUGGUAAUAAUAUCAUAUGCAGAUUUGUUGGAAAUUGUAUGACUUACAAUAUGGUGGUAGCAUCCCUCAACAGAACAGGAACAGGCUAGGGUAUAAUGGGGAAUUCUUUUAAAAAAAUGUUAACAAUAUUAGGUUCAUAAGCUAUUGUAUUGAUUUUGAUUUUUUUUCUUACUGUUAUUCAGGACUUCUUCCUCAUAUUACUUUUCUGGUAUCAUAUAAAAACUUAUUAAAAGUAUGAGACCGGUGUCACUACAUAUAGAUGACCUUCCUAAGGUUAUUGUUGCAUGUUUGUUUUAUUUAUUAUUAUUUUUUCAGGCAAUUUGAUGCUGCUUAAUUAGCAAUGGAGGAUAUAAACAUUAAAGUUGAGCCUGUAGAAUUAGAGACGUUAGAAAAACCACUGACAAGAGAACCACUUAAAAAGUCCAGAAAAAUAGACUGGAAUAAAAGGGUCAAGUCAGAAUUCCUUAGAAUUCAUAAUCUGAAGCGCUUCAAAAGAGCUGAUGAAGUUACGG
rnacentral:lncRNA from 1 species